GAUAAACGCUAGCGGCAGGCUUAACACAUGCAAGUCGAGGGGCAGCAUAGAUUGUAGCAAUACAAUUGGUGGCGACCGGCGCACGGGUGCGUAACGCGUAUGCAACCUACCCGUCACAGGGGGAUAAUCCGGAGAAAUCUGGUCUAAUACCCCAUAACAUAUGGAUCGGCAUCGGUUCAUGUUGAAAUUUUCGGAGGUGACGGAUGGGCAUGCGUAGCAUUAGCUUGUUGGUGAGGUAACGGCUCACCAAGGCGACGAUGCUUAGGGGGACUGAGAGGAUUGCGCCCCAGACUGGUACUAGGACACGGACCAGACUCCUACGGGAGGCAGCAGUGAGGAAUAUUGGUCAAUGGGCGCAAGCCUGAACCAGCCAUGCCGCGUGCAGGAUGACGGCUCUAUGAGUUGUAAACUGCUUUUGUACGAGGGUAAAGUGGGUUACGUGUAACCUUUUGAAAGUAUCGUACGAAUAAGGAUCGGCUAACUCCGUGCCAGCCGCCGCCGUAA
rnacentral:rRNA from 1 species